rnacentral:rRNA from 1 species
GGUUAAGCGACUAAGCGUACACGGUGGAUGCCCUGGCAGUCAGAGGCGAUGAAGGACGUGCUAAUCUGCGAUAAGCGUCGGUAAGGUGAUAUGAACCGUUAUAACCGGCGAUUUCCGAAUGGGGAAACCCAGUGUGUUUCGACACACUAUCAUUAACUGAAUCCAUAGGUUAAUGAGGCGAACCGGGGGAACUGAAACAUCUAAGUACCCCGAGGAAAAGAAAUCAACCGAGAUUCCCCCAGUAGCGGCGAGCGAACGGGGAGCAGCCCAGAGCCUGAAUCAGUGUGUGUGUUAGUGGAAGCGUCUGGAAAGGCGCGCGAUACAGGGUGACAGCCCCGUACACAAAAAUGCACAUGCUGUGAGCUCGAUGAGUAGGGCGGGACACGUGGUAUCCUGUCUGAAUAUGGGGGGACCAUCCUCCAAGGCUAAAUACUCCUGACUGACCGAUAGUGAACCAGUACCGUGAGGGAAAGGCGAAAAGAACCCCGGCGAGGGGAGUGAAAAAGAACCUGAAACCGUGUACGUACAAGCAGUGGGAGCACGCUUAGGCGUGUGACUGCGUACCUUUUGUAUAAUGGGUCAGCGACUUAUAUUCUGUAGCAAGGUUAACCGAAUAGGGGAGCCGAAGGGAAACCGAGUCUUAACUGGGCGUUAAGUUGCAGGGUAUAGACCCGAAACCCGGUGAUCUAGCCAUGGGCAGGUUGAAGGUUGGGUAACACUAACUGGAGGACCGAACCGACUAAUGUUGAAAAAUUAGCGGAUGACUUGUGGCUGGGGGUGAAAGGCCAAUCAAACCGGGAGAUAGCUGGUUCUCCCCGAAAGCUAUUUAGGUAGCGCCUCGUGAAUUCAUCUCCGGGGGUAGAGCACUGUUUCGGCAAGGGGGUCAUCCCGACUUACCAACCCGAUGCAAACUGCGAAUACCGGAGAAUGUUAUCACGGGAGACACACGGCGGGUGCUAACGUCCGUCGUGAAGAGGGAAACAACCCAGACCGCCAGCUAAGGUCCCAAAGUCAUGGUUAAGUGGGAAACGAUGUGGGAAGGCCCAGACAGCCAGGAUGUUGGCUUAGAAGCAGCCAUCAUUUAAAGAAAGCGUAAUAGCUCACUGGUCGAGUCGGCCUGCGCGGAAGAUGUAACGGGGCUAAACCAUGCACCGAAGCUGCGGCAGCGACGCUUAUGCGUUGUUGGGUAGGGGAGCGUUCUGUAAGCCUGCGAAGGUGUGCUGUGAGGCAUGCUGGAGGUAUCAGAAGUGCGAAUGCUGACAUAAGUAACGAUAAAGCGGGUGAAAAGCCCGCUCGCCGGAAGACCAAGGGUUCCUGUCCAACGUUAAUCGGGGCAGGGUGAGUCGACCCCUAAGGCGAGGCCGAAAGGCGUAGUCGAUGGGAAACAGGUUAAUAUUCCUGUACUUGGUGUUACUGCGAAGGGGGGACGGAGAAGGCUAUGUUGGCCGGGCGACGGUUGUCCCGGUUUAAGCGUGUAGGCUGGUUUUCCAGGCAAAUCCGGAAAACCAAGGCUGAGGCGUGAUGACGAGGCACUACGGUGCUGAAGCGACAAAUGCCCUGCUUCCAGGAAAAGCCUCUAAGCAUCAGGUAACAUCAAAUCGUACCCCAAACCGACACAGGUGGUCAGGUAGAGAAUACCAAGGCGCUUGAGAGAACUCGGGUGAAGGAACUAGGCAAAAUGGUGCCGUAACUUCGGGAGAAGGCACGCUGAUAUGUAGGUGAAGCGACUUGCUCGUGGAGCUGAAAUCAGUCGAAGAUACCAGCUGGCUGCAACUGUUUAUUAAAAACACAGCACUGUGCAAACACGAAAGUGGACGUAUACGGUGUGACGCCUGCCCGGUGCCGGAAGGUUAAUUGAUGGGGUUAGCGGCAACGCGAAGCUCUUGAUCGAAGCCCCGGUAAACGGCGGCCGUAACUAUAACGGUCCUAAGGUAGCGAAAUUCCUUGUCGGGUAAGUUCCGACCUGCACGAAUGGCGUAAUGAUGGCCAGGCUGUCUCCACCCGAGACUCAGUGAAAUUGAACUCGCUGUGAAGAUGCAGUGUACCCGCGGCAAGACGGAAAGACCCCGUGAACCUUUACUAUAGCUUGACACUGAACAUUGAGCCUUGAUGUGUAGGAUAGGUGGGAGGCUUUGAAGUGUGGACGCCAGUCUGCAUGGAGCCGACCUUGAAAUACCACCCUUUAAUGUUUGAUGUUCUAACGUUGGCCCGUAAUCCGGGUUGCGGACAGUGUCUGGUGGGUAGUUUGACUGGGGCGGUCUCCUCCUAAAGAGUAACGGAGGAGCACGAAGGUUGGCUAAUCCUGGUCGGACAUCAGGAGGUUAGUGCAAUGGCAUAAGCCAGCUUGACUGCGAGCGUGACGGCGCGAGCAGGUGCGAAAGCAGGUCAUAGUGAUCCGGUGGUUCUGAAUGGAAGGGCCAUCGCUCAACGGAUAAAAGGUACUCCGGGGAUAACAGGCUGAUACCGCCCAAGAGUUCAUAUCGACGGCGGUGUUUGGCACCUCGAUGUCGGCUCAUCACAUCCUGGGGCUGAAGUAGGUCCCAAGGGUAUGGCUGUUCGCCAUUUAAAGUGGUACGCGAGCUGGGUUUAGAACGUCGUGAGACAGUUCGGUCCCUAUCUGCCGUGGGCGCUGGAGAACUGAGGGGGGCUGCUCCUAGUACGAGAGGACCGGAGUGGACGCAUCACUGGUGUUCGGGUUGUCAUGCCAAUGGCACUGCCCGGUAGCUAAAUGCGGAAGAGAUAAGUGCUGAAAGCAUCUAAGCACGAAACUUGCCCCGAGAUGAGUUCUCCCUGACUCCUUGAGGGUCCUGAAGGAACGUUGAAGACGACGACGUUGAUAGGCCGGGUGUGUAAGCGCAGCGAUGCGUUGAGCUAACCGGUACUAAUGAACCGUGAGGCUUAACCUU